GGGUUGUGAGGUUAAGCGACUAAGCGUACACGGUGGAUGCCCUGGCAGUCAGAGGCGAUGAAGGACGUGCUAAUCUGCGAUAAGCGUCGGUAAGGUGAUAUGAACCGUUAUAACCGGCGAUUUCCGAAUGGGGAAACCCAGUGUGAUUCGUCACACUAUCAUUAACUGAAUCCAUAGGUUAAUGAGGCGAACCGGGGGAACUGAAACAUCUAAGUACCCCGAGGAAAAGAAAUCAACCGAGAUUCCCCCAGUAGCGGCGAGCGAACGGGGAGCAGCCCAGAGCCUGAAUCAGUGUGUGUGUUAGUGGAAGCGUCUGGAAAGGCGCGCGAUACAGGGUGACAGCCCCGUACACAAAAAUGCACAUGCUGUGAGCUCGAUGAGUAGGGCGGGACACGUGGUAUCCUGUCUGAAUAUGGGGGGACCAUCCUCCAAGGCUAAAUACUCCUGACUGACCGAUAGUGAACCAGUACCGUGAGGGAAAGGCGAAAAGAACCCCGGCGAGGGGAGUGAAAAAGAACCUGAAACCGUGUACGUACAAGCAGUGGGAGCACGCUUAGGCGUGUGACUGCGUACCUUUUGUAUAAUGGGUCAGCGACUUAUAUUCUGUAGCAAGGUUAACCGAAUAGGGGAGCCGAAGGGAAACCGAGUCUUAACUGGGCGUUAAGUUGCAGGGUAUAGACCCGAAACCCGGUGAUCUAGCCAUGGGCAGGUUGAAGGUUGGGUAACACUAACUGGAGGACCGAACCGACUAAUGUUGAAAAAUUAGCGGAUGACUUGUGGCUGGGGGUGAAAGGCCAAUCAAACCGGGAGAUAGCUGGUUCUCCCCGAAAGCUAUUUAGGUAGCGCCUCGUGAAUUCAUCUCCGGGGGUAGAGCACUGUUUCGGCAAGGGGGUCAUCCCGACUUACCAACCCGAUGCAAACUGCGAAUACCGGAGAAUGUUAUCACGGGAGACACACGGCGGGUGCUAACGUCCGUCGUGAAGAGGGAAACAACCCAGACCGCCAGCUAAGGUCCCAAAGUCAUGGUUAAGUGGGAAACGAUGUGGGAAGGCCCAGACAGCCAGGAUGUUGGCUUAGAAGCAGCCAUCAUUUAAAGAAAGCGUAAUAGCUCACUGGUCGAGUCGGCCUGCGCGGAAGAUGUAACGGGGCUAAACCAUGCACCGAAGCUGCGGCAGCGACGCUUAUGCGUUGUUGGGUAGGGGAGCGUUCUGUAAGCCUGUGAAGGUGUACUGUGAGGUAUGCUGGAGGUAUCAGAAGUGCGAAUGCUGACAUAAGUAACGAUAAAGCGGGUGAAAAGCCCGCUCGCCGGAAGACCAAGGGUUCCUGUCCAACGUUAAUCGGGGCAGGGUGAGUCGACCCCUAAGGCGAGGCCGAAAGGCGUAGUCGAUGGGAAACAGGUUAAUAUUCCUGUACUUGGUGUUACUGCGAAGGGGGGACGGAGAAGGCUAUGUUGGCCGGGCGACGGUUGUCCCGGUUUAAGCGUGUAGGCUGGUUUUCCAGGCAAAUCCGGAAAAUCAAGGCUGAGGCGUGAUGACGAGGCACUACGGUGCUGAAGCAACAAAUGCCCUGCUUCCAGGAAAAGCCUCUAAGCAUCAGGUAACAUCAAAUCGUACCCCAAACCGACACAGGUGGUCAGGUAGAGAAUACCAAGGCGCUUGAGAGAACUCGGGUGAAGGAACUAGGCAAAAUGGUGCCGUAACUUCGGGAGAAGGCACGCUGAUAUGUAGGUGAAGUCCCUCGCGGAUGGAGCUGAAAUCAGUCGAAGAUACCAGCUGGCUGCAACUGUUUAUUAAAAACACAGCACUGUGCAAACACGAAAGUGGACGUAUACGGUGUGACGCCUGCCCGGUGCCGGAAGGUUAAUUGAUGGGGUCAGCGCAAGCGAAGCUCUUGAUCGAAGCCCCGGUAAACGGCGGCCGUAACUAUAACGGUCCUAAGGUAGCGAAAUUCCUUGUCGGGUAAGUUCCGACCUGCACGAAUGGCGUAAUGAUGGCCAGGCUGUCUCCACCCGAGACUCAGUGAAAUUGAACUCGCUGUGAAGAUGCAGUGUACCCGCGGCAAGACGGAAAGACCCCGUGAACCUUUACUAUAGCUUGACACUGAACAUUGAGCCUUGAUGUGUAGGAUAGGUGGGAGGCUUUGAAGUGUGGACGCCAGUCUGCAUGGAGCCGACCUUGAAAUACCACCCUUUAAUGUUUGAUGUUCUAACGUGGACCCGUAAUCCGGGUUGCGGACAGUGUCUGGUGGGUAGUUUGACUGGGGCGGUCUCCUCCUAAAGAGUAACGGAGGAGCACGAAGGUUGGCUAAUCCUGGUCGGACAUCAGGAGGUUAGUGCAAUGGCAUAAGCCAGCUUGACUGCGAGCGUGACGGCGCGAGCAGGUGCGAAAGCAGGUCAUAGUGAUCCGGUGGUUCUGAAUGGAAGGGCCAUCGCUCAACGGAUAAAAGGUACUCCGGGGAUAACAGGCUGAUACCGCCCAAGAGUUCAUAUCGACGGCGGUGUUUGGCACCUCGAUGUCGGCUCAUCACAUCCUGGGGCUGAAGUAGGUCCCAAGGGUAUGGCUGUUCGCCAUUUAAAGUGGUACGCGAGCUGGGUUUAGAACGUCGUGAGACAGUUCGGUCCCUAUCUGCCGUGGGCGCUGGAGAACUGAGGGGGGCUGCUCCUAGUACGAGAGGACCGGAGUGGACGCAUCACUGGUGUUCGGGUUGUCAUGCCAAUGGCACUGCCCGGUAGCUAAAUGCGGAAGAGAUAAGUGCUGAAAGCAUCUAAGCACGAAACUUGCCCCGAGAUGAGUUCUCCCUGACCCUUUAAGGGUCCUGAAGGAACGUUGAAGACGACGACGUUGAUAGGCCGGGUGUGUAAGCGCAGCGAUGCGUUGAGCUAACCGGUACUAAUGAACCGUGAGGCUUAACCUUACAACGCCGAAG
rnacentral:rRNA from 1 species